rnacentral:rRNA from 1 species
AGGGUUCGAUUCUGACUCAGGAUGAACGCUAGCUACAGGCUUAACACAUGCAAGUCGAGGGGCAUCAGAUCGAAAGCUUGCUUUGAUGCUGGCGACCGGCGCACGGGUGAGUAACGCGUAUCCAACCUUCCCUAUAGUAGAGAAUAGCCCGGCGAAAGUCGGAUUAAUGCUCUAUGUUGUAUUUAGAGGACAUCUGAAGAAUACCAAAGGUUUACCGCUAUAGGAUGGGGAUGCGUCUGAUUAGGUAGUAGGCGGGGUAACGGCCCACCUAGCCGACGAUCAGUAGGGGUUCUGAGAGGAAGGUCCCCCACAUUGGAACUGAGACACGGUCCAAACUCCUACGGGAGGCAGCAGUGAGGAAUAUUGGUCAAUGGACGGAAGUCUGAACCAGCCAAGUAAGCGUGCAGGAUGACGGCCCUAUGGGUUGUAAACUGCUUUUAUAUAGGGAUAAAGUCGGGGACGUGUCCCCGUUUGUAGGUACUAUAUGAAUAAGGACCGGCUAAUUCCGUGCCAGCCGCGGC